UACGAAGGGGGCUAGCGUUGUUCGGAAUUACUGGUCGUAAAGCGAACGUAGGCGGUGUUCCAUGUCAGAGGUGAGAGCCUGGGGCUCAACUCCAGAAUUGCCUUUGAAACGGGGACGCUUGAGUCCGAGAGAGGAUGGCGGAAUUCCUAGUGUAGAGGUGAAAUUCGUAGAUAUUAGGAAGAACACCGGUGGCGAAGGCGGCCAUCUGGCUCGGUACUGACGCUCAGGUUCGAAAGCGUGGGGAGCAAACAGG
rnacentral:rRNA from 1 species